ensembl:lncRNA
CCACAGACCAGUGCCAUCAGGGACCCUUGAUGCAAAGCACCUGGGUUCUUACUGAUGUCUUUAGGUUACCCAAUUAAAUAUGGAGUUGCCUACCUUAUUAAGUCAUUUUUAGUUGGAGUUCUCUGUUACUUUCAGUCAAAGACAAUUGAUAAAACAACAAUAAUGUUAAAAUUUCUUUUCUGUCAUGAGGACAGUGGGGUAGGUUAUGGGACAGGAUCCCUGAGCCUUACUUCAAGCAAUGUGAGAUGCCUGGCAUUAGAGAAUGCACUCAACCAUGAACCAUGUGCCUUCAUUAAGGUCUAACUAUUAGAAGGAGGUUCCGGAAGAACCAGUUUAGGAAGAGCUGGAGGUUCUGAGCAAGUCAGGGUAUGAGUAAAGAGUUCCCGACCAACCUGGGAGAUGUGAGCAUAUGAGAACAGGCUGGGCGCACAAGCUGGAGAGAAGAAAUGUCUUUCAGUAAUUUGAGAAAUGUGAAUCUCCUACCCAUCUCUUCAGGACUCCUGAAGACAGAGAUAAGCCUUCUGUUUCCAGUGAUCAUGGGCCAGAUGAAGCCAGCCUCAGGAUAAUAAACCAGGUGAUGGUUUCAUCUCCCAAGUGUGCUUCCUCGUUUAAAAAACAAAACACACAAGGACACCUAGUGUAUCGUGACCUCCAGGGAAGGAGCCUGUCUGAGCACCAUCGAGUCAAUGCCUAAGAAGUAGACCCUGCAUUUAUGAAGAGGACUGUGGGCUGGGAACUUUCCUAGGACCCCUCUCAAUAGUUCUUCCUUUCUUAUGCAGAGUAACUUAUUUCCCCCAAACCCAUAUCCGAGCACCCUGUCUCUACAUAUUCAACAGGGGACCUUGCGAUUAUAAGGAUUAGUCUUUUGGUGGGUGGCAGGUUGAAUGGGGAGGGGAUGUUAAUAAGUAAUUUUGCUCCCUUCACACAUAAUUUUUAUUCAGUCAGAGUGUGGAAGAGUUUUUGCAACAGGUAGUGUUUUGUUUGUUUGUUUGAAAGAAGAGUCAUUGUGAUUAAAGAAAAAAUGUAAGCUUAUCUCUAUUUCCUUCUACUGCUGAAAAAUAGCUCCUUGACCUUCACUGGUCCAGACUUUCUGCUCUGGGCAACCCAUGGGGCAACACUGUUAAAUACAAUUCUUGAAAUUUUUUUCUAAACCUCUUUCUUUUUUUUUUUUUUUUUGAUAAAAAUCCUUAAUGCAUCUGUACUAGGAAGCACUCUACUUAUCAUAUGCUAUGCAUUGAAUAUUUGUUUCUGUUCAAUAUUCAUAGGUUGAAAUCCUUACCCUCAAACUGAUGGUAUUCAGAGAUGGGGCCCUAGUGGGUGAUGGGAUCUUGAAGGUAGAACCCUCUUCAAUGGGAUUGCUGCUCUUCUAUGGAAGAUCCCAGAGUGAUUUCCCAUCCCUCUGCCAUGUGGAGACAUAGCCAGAAGGCAAUGUCUGUGAACCAGGAACUGGGUUCUUACCAGAUACUAUUGGCACCUUGAUCUUGGACUUCCCGGCCUUCAGAACUGUGAGAAAUAAAUUUCUGUUG